rnacentral:rRNA from 1 species
UACAUGUGGGGCAAGCGUUGUUCGGAAUUACUGGGCAUAAAGGGUGCGUAGGUGGGCUAGUAAGUCCGUGGUGAAAUCUCUGAGCUUAACUCGGAAACUGCCGUGGAUACUAUUAGUCUUGAAUCUCGUGGAGGUAAGCGGAAUAUGUCAUGUAGCGGUGAAAUGCUUAGAUAUGACAUAGAACACCGAUAGCGAAGGCAGCUUGCUACACGAGUAUUGACACUGAGGCACGAAAGCGUGGGGAUCAAACAGG